rnacentral:rRNA from 1 species
CCCUUAGAUGUUCUGGGCCGCACGCGCGCUACUCUGAUGCAUUCAACGAGCCUAUCCUUGACCGACAGGUCCGGGUAAUCUUUGAAUCUGCAUCGUGACGGGGAUAGAUUAUUGCAAUUAUUAAUCUUCAACGAGGAAUGCCUAGUAGGCGCAAGUCAUCAGCUUGCGUCGAUUACGUCCCUGCCCUUUGUACACACCGCCCGUCGCUCCUACCGAUUGGGUGUGCUGGUGAAAUGUUCGGAUCGGCCGUUUGUCGCGGUUUCCGCGUCAUGUGGCUGAGAAGUUCAUUAAACCCUCCCACCUAGAGGAAGGAGAAGUCGUAACA